rnacentral:lncRNA from 1 species
CACCACUCGUAAUAACCAAAUUCACUCAGUUGGGAUAGGUGGGAGAUGGUGGUUUGUGGGGUGGCUUGUGGGGAGGAGUUGGAGGAGGCUUUAUUUUCUGAGGCGGCUUGUAUGAGUGUGCAGGAGGAUGCCCGGGAGUGUGACCAUAAUGUGGUGGCUUCUCUCCCGUAGGUGGUUUGCCAAAUGGGCUUGGUGGCUUCUCUCCCUUAGGAGGUUUACCAAUUGGGGUUGGUGGCUUGUGUUCUGGGAGUGGUUUCUCUCCCUUGGUAGGUUUGCCAAUUGGGGUUGGCGGCUUAUGUUCUGGGAGUGGCUUCUCUCCCUUGGGAGGUUUGCUAAUUGGGGUUGGCGGCUUAUGUUCUGGGGGCGGCUUCUCUCCCUUGGGAGGUUUGCCAAUUGGAGUUGGCGGCUUAUGUUCUGGGAGUGGCUUUUCUCCCUUGGGAGGCUUGCCAAUUGGGGUUGGCGGCUUAUGUUCUGGGGGUGGCUUCUCUCCUUUAGGAGGUUUGCCAAUUGGAGUCGGCGGCUUAUGUUCUGGAAGUGGCUUUUUUCCCUUGGGAGGUUUGCCAAUUGGGGUUGGCGGCUUAUGUUCUGGGGGUGGCUUCUCUCCCUUGGGAGGUUUGCCAAUUGGAGUCGGCGGCUUAUGUUCUGGGAGUGGCUUCUCUCCCUUGGGAGGUUUUGUUGGUGGCUUGUGUUCUGGAGAUGGCUUCUCCCCUGGAGGCUUGUGCUCCGGAGGUGGCUUCUGAAAUGGCGGGGGCUUGGGGUAAUGAGCAAGAGAUGGAGUACUGGUGAGAACCACCAUUCCAAGCAACAAUACUAGCAAGCAUGUGGGAGACAUCUUUGAGUAGUUGUAGCUAAGAUGGCGCAACACUGUAGGCAUUGGGUGGCCUUUUAUAAAGGGCUGGACCCAACAGCCAUAUGACACGUGUCAUGAUGACAAAUGAAGUUGAGGGGAUCCAGAUGGGUCCUACUGAGUCGAAAACUUGCACUAAUUGAUCUGGUGAGAUGACUAUUUCUGUCCUUUUGCCCUUCUCGGCCACCCUGUGCUGUUUUCCUUUUGCACGAUUUUCGUUGCCAAACAAGCAAAUAAUAUUUCGCCAAGAAAGAGGAGAGUGAAUGUGGAAUGCAUCAAGUCCCAUCAAGGAUGGCAGAGAAGAAAUAGAAGAUUGCCCAACUGUGAUAAACAUAGCAUACACGUAGCACCAGGAACUUCAUUUACUUCCAUCUAAUGGAACAUAACAAUCUUCUAAAGUUUUUGCAUGAUUUUGUUAUAUGUCUCUUAGCCUAAAGUUGGAAAUGCGCAACAAAUUUUGUCACUUCUCUAUUUCCCACUGAUGAUGUUAAUUAGCCUUCAUAGAUAUCAUCCUUUCUACAAAGUGCUUCAUUUGUGUGUUAUUGUAAAGUGUAAGAAAAGUAAUUGAACAUGUUCUUUUUCCUUUCAUAGAUGACUUUUGAUGUGCAUUUUAAAAGCAGCGCUGUGAGUCGGUGACCUUGAUUCACACGGAAACUAAGGCUCCUAUAGGACCCACUUUUAGCUGGUUAGGGGUGAAGAAAAUAUCAACUUUUCAGAGUGAUUUAAGUCAAGGCCAAGCCUCACUGUGUCAUUACUCGUGUGAAUUUUAUAUGCACAUACAUACAUAAAUAAAGUAUGAGACCCAAAUAACACCUUCCCUUUACAAACUUAACCCCAGCCGCUCUCUUUCAAUUCUUUUCACACAAGGGUAUUGACUCUAUAAAGGUCAAGAAAAUCAUAAUUUCCUAGGGUUUACAAGGUAAUUGGCUUAAUGCUAAUGUGAAAACAUAAAAGAUAAUAGUAUAUUGUAAGCUAACGAAUAUUCUAUAGUUAUAAUUAUUUGUGAUGUGCAUAAAUAAAUCUUCAUAUAUAUAAUGGAACAAUGAAUAAAGAACCAAUGAAAAAAUACUAUAUAUCAUUGCUUGGCAUUUAAACCGUAUAUGCUGCUCUUUCUAGCUACUCCAUCCACUGAAAGACAACAAGGUAAUCCAUGUUAUAAUGAUAGAAGAUACUGUCUCUAGGCUUUUUGUGAUGAAAAAUAUAAGAUAUGGGUAGGGUUGACCCUUGUAUGUUUGUCCUAUAAACACUUCAAAGUAACAUAUUUUUCUUCUUUAGCAACUCAUAAUGAUGGGGUUCAUUUGCAUGUCACUGAGUUGAAAAGUUGGACAAUUGCCCAUGUCGCCUUCCUCCUAGAUUCCGUAGUUCACGGGAAGGUAACUCAAGUUUGACAUAUUUUGAAUUCUUUUCACUCGGACGUCUUCAUAACCUGACAAAACAAAAAUGAAAAACAGAGGAUUGGUAUAUUAUUCAUGGUAAGCCUCAAAUUAUAGUAGUAUGAGAAAGGAGAAAAAGAUUUUGGGAACUCCAAUCUGGAUAAUUCUCGUUUCUUCUCUUGAAUAAAAAUUUCACUUACCUAACUUCGUUUGGAGAAAUGGCAUAUUUUAAUUUUGUACGUCAUUGCUAAUAAAUGGAGCAAUUUAGCAUGUUUUGUGACUGAAACUGCAAAUGUCCAAUUGGCAUUUCUUCAUUUCCCACUUAGGAUCUGAUCUUGUAGACCAUAUAACGAUAUGUAUCUGUGCAAGCAUUGAAAACUAAUGUGAACUAUGAGGAGUUACAAGCCACUGGACUGUAGAGCGAGUGCCAAGAUUUAAAUCUUCAGGCUCUAUCUGGGUAAGGGGAGGAUAGCGACCUAACCUUUUACCAAAGGCUUAGAAUUUAGACUUUUGGAAAAAAAUUUCUCAUGUUUUGGCUGGAUUUCUUGUGCUUGGCGCAAAAAGGAGAUGGCCUCAAGAAAUAGCAGACUCACUUUUGUUUUCAGCCCUUAAUAAUUCUCCACUGCUUUCCAUAACUACAUGGGUUAUACAUGCAGUCUGCUGCAAUAUUCCAGUUAUAUUUAUUAUUUCAAAGAGGGUGAAUGACUUCACAUGCAAUAUGUUGCAGUAACAACCCAAAUUUUGGCACACCAUCUUAAGAAUAGAAAAGUAUAAUAAAAGAAAUCAAUCAGAGAAUCACUUUGCAUGCAGUUCAUAGAGUUCGCCCAAAAUGGAGCCACAUGUACGGACAACCCCACAAUAGACAAUCUUCUCUAUACAGUAAUAAAAUACAGAAAUGGUUAAUGAAGCUCUGUAUUUCCUUAUCAUAUAUGACCGGUUGAAAACUCAGCAAGUCUUCCUCAAUCACAGACAGUUGGAGUUGCUUCAUCAAAAUCAUGCCUUCAUUACUGGCUUCAUUUUGGUUUCAAUGUCUGUUCUACCCUUAAAUUGGGUCUCUGCUUACUACCGGGAUAUCCUUUAGCGUCCUGCAAUUCUACUAGAUUAAAGAGAAUGACUUAAUUCUGCAUUCUGCCGUCCCUAGUCCAAGUGGUACUAGAAUUGAUGUUUCCUUUAGUGUCCUUUCUUCAUACUUUCAGGUUCUUCCCUUGUUUCAAUAAUGCUGUUUUCCUUCAUGUUUAACCUCUGUUGAACCACUUAAAACAACACAAUUUGCACACCAAUGUUUCUUUACAGAAAAGACUGUUUGCAAAAAUGCACAUGUUAUAAGGUUAAUGGAAGAAUUAAUUUGGGGAUAAGGGACUAGGAUUGGGCCAAUGAAGUUUGGUGUUAAAUUUUGAUUAUGAUUGCUUUUCAUUAUCAGGUACCUUAUAUUUGCUGAUGCUAUCUGGAACUAAAUUCAAAUCAGACAUUAUCCGAUUACUAACAGGACAUAUCAUGUCCCUCUGCAGAGUUUCUAAACUAACAUGUAUCGAAAUGUGGCCCCAAAAGGAAGGCUAGGAAGAUGGAGGAUUUUGUAGGAAUCGACCAGAAUCAGAUGGAAGAGAGAUAGUCCUGUUGACUUUAAUGGUUGUGAUAGGAACAUGCAUCAUUAUAUGAGAAGUUGCAUGAAUUUAUGUAUCCUGUUAUCGUUCCUUGACGAUUUCCCAAUGCAAUUUCACUGUCCACAAGACUAACCUCUCCAUGCAGUCAAAUGAAUUGUAAUUUCUCUAUUGGUACCAGUAGUACAUUUCAUACCAAACAUAUAGUAAAUAUAAAAUAUAAAUAGAUCAAGGAAAUCUGAAUUGUAGAUAGCACUGCAAGUAACACUCAAUAUUCUCUAUAUAUAAUAAAAUAAACAGUGUCACAAUACUCAUCACCCAGUGGCAAGGGAGAAAAACCUACAAUGAGUACUCAAAUCACCAUUCUCAAACAGAAACAUAGCAGUGACUGAUACAUAGAACCUAUAUGCUCACAGGGAAAGAAUAAGAUGACCAGUGCACAGCGGGCAGCAGCUCUUAUUUUACGUACAACUCAAAUCCCAAACUAACCAAAGUCGCUCAGUUGGGAUGGGUGGGAGAUGGUGGUUUGUGGGAUGGCUUCUGGGUAGGAGCUGGUGGCUUCUGUCCCUUUGGUGGUUUGCCUAAUGAGCUUGGUGGCUUGUGCUCCGGGAGUUGUUUCUCUCCCUCGAGUAGGUUUCGAGUCUUGUCAGAUGGCUUGUGUUCUGGUGGUGGCUUCUCUCCCUGGGGUGGUUUGCCGAAUGGGCUUGGUGGCUUGUGUUCGGGGAGUGGCUUCUCUCCCUGGAGAAGGUUACGAGUUUUGUCAUAUGGCUUUUGUUCUGGUGGUGGCUUCUCUCCCUGGGGUGGUUUGCCGAAUGGGCUUGGUGGCUUGUGUUCGGGGAGUGGCUUCUCUCCCUGGAGAAGGUUACGAGUUUUGUCAGAUGGCUUGUGUUCUGGUGGUGGCUUCUCUCCCUGGGGUGGUUUGCCGAAUGGGCUUGGUGGCUUGUGUUCGGGGAGUGGCUUCUCUCCCUGGAGAAGGUUACGAGUUUUGUCAGAUGGCUUUUGUUCUGGUGGCGGCUUCUCUCCCUGGGGUGGUUUGCCAAAUGGGCUUGGUGGCUUGUGUUCGGGAACUGGCUUCUCUCCCUUGGGAGGUUCAGUUGGUGGCUGCUGUUCCGUAGGUGGUUUCUUCACCGGCGGCUUGUGCUCCGGAAGCGGCUUCUCUACCUGGAGAAGCUUACGAGUUUUGUCCGAUGGCUUGUGUUGUGGUGGUGGCUUCUCUCCCUGGGGUGGUUUGCCAAAUGGAGUUGGUGGCUUGUGUUCGGGGAGUGGCUUCUCUCCAUUGGGAGGUUUAGUUGGUGAUUGGUGUUCCGUAGGUGGUUUCUGAAGUGGGGGAUGCUUGGGGUAGUCAGCAAGAGACGAGGUAGUGAGAACCACCAGUCCCAGCAGCAACACUAGCAAGCAUGUGGAAGACAUCUUUGAGUUCAGGCUGAGAUCUGUGCAAGGAUAACAGAAUUAGGUGGCCUUUUAUAGAGGCCUGGACCCAACACCCAUAUGACACGUGUCAUGCACUCAUGGUGACACAUAAUUCUAUGGGACCAUUUGGGUCCUACAGAAGUUGCAAAGUUGGACUACUGAGGUGUGAUCACAACUUUUGUCCUUAUUGCUUUCUCUGCGGCCAUUGCACGAUUUCCUUUAGCAUCAUUUUCUUGGCUAAAUAAGCGUAUUAUAUUUGUGGCAGACCGUCCACGUGUCAUAAACAGAUAUAUUAUAAUAAUGUAGUAUGCUUUUCUCCAAUGGAACAUGACACUCUUCUAAGUCUUGUUUUAAAUAUUGUGCAGGAUUACUUUAUACGUUGCAGUUCCAAGUCAAAAUUGGUGGGCAAACGUUGGCCUUUUUUCAUUUCACCUAAGAUUAAUGCUCACCUGGGAUAGGCACUACAUGACUUAUCUGCUCUUUUACUGUAAAGUUGCUUUGUGUAUGAGAUACACCUCCCCUGCACACCCUCAACAUUCGUUGCUCUGUUUUCCUUGUGUCCAGACGAGGAUAUUAAUUGGAGGCUGACAAAACGACUGCUAGCCCAGGAUUUACAAGGUCCUGGUUUGAGGCUUCGGUGAAAGUAUUUUUGAAAAGACACACAUAGAGAUAGUGCGUUUGGUGCAAUGCAGCACUGUGAGCCAUUCUGACGCGUUCUUAAUUUCAAAACUAAUGAAUGCUUCAAAAUUUUAAGAAGUGACAUUUCCAAAUAUUUGAGUUCGUUUAAUUGAACAUUGGAUAACUAGUGAUCAUAGAUUAUUAUCUGUGCUUGGCACUAUAAGAGGGUAUAUGCUUCUUUUUCUGGCCCCUCCUUCAAGGGAGGAGGGACAAUGUGAUCUGUAACGUUAGAAGCUAUUCCAUGUCAUCUUUGGGCUCAGUUCAAAACUAAAAGAUAAUGGGGGGGGGGGGGGGGGGCAUAUCAUUUUAUAUUUCUUCUAGAAGGUUUGUUCUGGAAAUAUUUCACAGGAGCAUAUCUUUUUCUUCUAUUACGUCAUCCGCAGCCUCCAAUAGGUCGGUUAACAAGCCACCGAGUUGAAAAGUUGGAAAAAUGGGAACACAGCCCGCCUCUUGUAUUCAGUAGUUAAAUAAAAGGUCACUAGAAGUGAGAUCCCUUUUGGCGUCUUGAUUUUCAAUCCAGCACCUCUGUGACCUGACAAACCAAAAAAACUAAAAAAUAAAAAACAGUACGUGGGUUGGUGUUAAGCAUCAAGACAUGUUAAUGAAAGAAGGUAGAGAAUAGGAUAUUGAAAUCCCAAUCCUGAUAACAUGAUUUUCUUUGCUAACAACCAUAUUAUAUUUUAUCAAGAAAGAGUAAUGCAUGUGGCGUCCAUCAAGACCCAUUAGAGUUCCGCUAAAGCUAUAGUUCUGUCAACGUUAUCAUUUACGUUUCCUCUAGAUAAUGGCAUUUUCCUCUAAAGCUCUUGCACCAUUAGGCUUCAAGUCAAAAUUUCACAUGUGAACUUUGGAAAUUUUCUCCAUUUGCCCCUAAGGAUACAGUUAGAAUUGACUUAAAAUCCUGAUUGAUAUGUACUAUUAACCAAAGAAUAUUGUAUAUAAUAAUUGAAAUAUUGUUGAUUCAUCGUGGAAAUACAUUUUGUAAGGAAAGUUGUUGAGAAUUUAGUAUGCUAUAUGGAGAAAAAAGUCAUGACUUAAGGUUGUGUAUGUAUAUUCUAUAUCAAAUAUUAGGUAGGAAUGUGGGAAAGAGCAGAGUGUAAUGAUAAGAAACAAAGAAAUAUAAGAUAUUCUUGAAAGUGGAAAAUAUAAAAUGGCUAACGAGUCAAAUUUAUGAUGCGUAAGGGGGAUCAUGUCACAUAAGAAAACCAUGGCAUACUAAAGACGUACGUGUGGUAUGGAGUAAUAAUUUUGUUAAAAUAAGUUUCUUGUUGGAGUACAUUAGGUGACUAUUCAUAACGUAUCAAAUUAAAGAGUCAAGUGCAUCAAUGAAGGCAUAUGUAGAAAAUUUGUUUGUGACAUGUACCAUAAAGAUAAGAUUGACUUGAUAGAAUUUAGUCUAAGUAGGAGUUGUUAAAGGUGUCUUAAAUUUCUAAUUGAUGUAUAUUUUUUUCUAAAAAAAUAUUAUAUAGAUAUUUUAAUAAAUGAUUAAUUCUUUGUAAAAAUACUUACAUAAUAAAAAACAUCAUUAAAAAUAUCUUUAUAAAUAUUUUAAGUUACAAGAAGGAAAAAAACCACUGUGAGAUAAUGAUGAACAUGCAACACUGUACCAAGUAAAUAAAAAUGUGAUAAAAAAAAAAGAGAAACACUCGAUAAAGGAAGGCUCGUAUAUAAAGAGUAAUAUUUUUAAUCAUAUGAUAGAAUGAUUUUCUCUCAUUCAUGAAUAUAGGCAAGAUUGGGGAACCAUUAUAAAAUUUUGUACACCUCGUGUAAAUUGAUGUUUGUCUUCAUAUUUUACACCAACAAAUGACAUUGAAGUUGUCAUUGAUAAAAGGGAAAAGGCAUGCCUCCACACCAUGUGCUUGAUUCGAAUGGUUCAAGUUUGAAGAAUUUUCUCCGGAAGAUCUAAAACAUUUUCGCCUUUAAAUUUCAUUUGAUUAUUAAUAUCCGAAAAAAUAGUUAAAUACUCUUUCUAUUUUUGAGUUGUUGAAUUUUUUGAAAGUUUUUAUAUUUGUUAUCAAGAAUUUCUAUUUUAUUAAGGGUGAAUAUUUAUAAAUAAGAUAUUAUAUAAUAUUUGGAUAAGAGAGAAUGGUGGAAUAUAAUAAAGUUUUAAUCCUUCCCAAUUUUGAACCUUUUUUUUUUUUUUUGAUAUAAUCGCCUUUCUCUUGCAAUCCUAUUAUCAGGUACCUUAUAUUUGCUGAUGCUAUCUGGAACUAAAUUCCAAUCAGGCAUUGUCCAAUUACUAAUAGGACAGAUCAUAUCUCUCUGUUUCUAAACUAACAUGUAUCGUAAUGUGACCUCAUAAGGAAGGCUAGGAAGAUGGAGGAUUUUGUGGGAAGCGACCAGAAUCAGAUGGAAGAGAGAUAGCCCUGUUGACCUAAUGGCUGUAAUAGGAGAAGCGUGUGGUUUUAUGGGACUUAACUGAUACUAAACCUGUAUGAUGCUUGGAGUGGUGUUUCUUUCAUUUUGUUAAGAAAAUAUGGCAGCAUACAUGCUUUCAACUGAGUGCAUCAGAGCAUCCAUAACAGAUGGUCUGCAACCCUAGGUGCAUGCCACUUUCUGACUGAUAAUGAAAUUGUCAGGUACCUGGCCUUGACUAAGCUCAACAGCAUCACAUAAAGAGAAGCUUUCAUACUUAGAUUACUGUUUAAAGUUUUUGCUUAUUUGAUUUCUUAAUGCCAUUAUGACAUUAUUGAUUCAAUUCUGCUUCCGAUUUUCGAAGUUCUGGGCAUCUACUGAUUGCAUCAUUAUAUGAGAAGUUGCAUGAGUUUAUGUAUCCUGUUAUUGUUCCUUUGCGAUUUCACUGCUCACGGGACUAACCUCUCCAUUCAGUCGAAAUGAAUUGUAAUUUCUUUACUGGUAGCAGUAGUACUUUUCAUAGCAAAGAUAAUAGAAAAUAUGAAAUAUAAAUAGAAGGAAAUCUGGAUUGUAGAUAGCACCAUAAGUAACACUCAAUAUUCACUACAUAAUAAAUAGACAGUGUUACAUAGGUAGAGAAACCUACAAUGAGUACUCAUCACCAUUCUCAAACAGAAACAUAGCAGCGACUUAUACAUAGAACCUAUAGGCUCGCAGGGAAAGAGUAACAUGAUAAGUUCACAGCGGGUAGCAGCUCUUAUUUUACGUAUUACUCAAAAUCUCAAACUAACCAAAGUCACUCAGUUGGGAUGGGUAGGAGAUGGUGGUUUGUGGGGUGGCUUCUGGGUAGGAGCUGGUGGCUUCUUUGUUGGAGUUGAAGGAGGCAUAUUCUUCUGAGGUGGCUUGUAUGACUCUUCGGCACUCUCUGCAGGAGGGUGCCCAGGGUUGUGACCAGAAGGAGGUGGCUUCUGUCCCUUUGGUGGUUUGCCUAAUGGGCUUGGUGGCUUGUGCUCCGGGAGUUGUUUCUCUCCCUCGAGUAGGUUUCGAGUUUUGUCAGAUGGCUUGUGUUCUGGUGGUGGCUUCUCUCCCUGGGGUGGUUUGCCGAAUGGGCUUGGUGGCUUGUGUUCGGGGAGUGGCUUCUCUCCCUGGAGAAGGUUACGAGUUUUGUCAGAUGGCUUUUGUUCUGGUGGCGGCUUCUCUCCCUGGGGUGGUUUGCCAAAUGGGCUUGGUGGCUUGUGUUCGGGAACUGGCUUCUCUCCCUUGGGAGGUUCAUUUGGUGGCUGGUGUUCCGUAGGUGGUUCCUUCACCGGCGGCUUGUGCUCCGGAAGCGGCUUCUCUACCUGGAGAAGCUUACGAGUUUUGUCAGAUGGCUUGUGUUGUGGUGGUGGCUUCUCUCCCGGGGGUGGUUUGCCAAAUGGACUUGGUGGCUUGUGUUCGGGGAGUGGCUUCUCUCCAUGGGGAGGUUUAGUUGGUGGUUGGUGUUGCGUAGGUGGUUUCUGAAGUGGGGGAUGCUUGGGGUAGUCAGCAAUAGACGAGGUAGUGAGAACCACCAGUCCCAACAGCAACACUAGCAAGGAUGUUGAAGACAUCUUUGAGUUCAGGCUGAGAUCUGUGCAAGGAUAAAAGAUUUAGGUGGCCUUUUAUAGAGGGCUGGACCCAACACCCAUAUGACACGUGUCAUGCACUCAUGGUGACACAUAAUUCUAUGGGACCAUUUGGGUCCUACAGAAGUUGCAAAGUUGGACUAUUGAGGUGUGAUCACAACUUUUGUCCUACUUGCUUUCUCUGCGGCCAUUGCACGAUUUCCUUUAGCAUCAUUUUCUUGUCUAAAUAAGCGUAUUAUAUUUGUGGCAGACCGUCCACGUGUCAUAAACAGAUAUAUUAUAAUAAUGUAGUAUGCUUUUCUUCAACGGAACUUGACACUCUUCUAAGUCUUGUUUUAAAUACUGUGCAGGAUUACGUCAUAAGUUGCUUGUUCCAAGUCAAAAUUGGUGGGCAAACGUUGGCCUUUUUUCAUUUUCCCUAAUAUUAAUGCUCACCUGGGAUAGGCACUACAUGAUUUAUCUGCUCUUUUACUGUGAAGUUGCUUUGUGCAUGAGUUACACCUCCCCUGCACACCCUCAACAUUUGUUGCUCUGUUUUUCUUGUGUCCAGACGAGGAUAUUAAUUGGAGGCUGACAAAACGACUGCUAGCCAAGGAUUUACAAGGUCCUGGUUUGAGGCUUUCACGAAAGUAUUUUUGAAAAGAUACACAUAGAGAUUGCGCGUUCGGUGCAAUGCAACAAUGUGAGCCAUUCUGAAGUCUUAAAUUUCAGAUUAAUGAAUGCUACAAAAUUCUAAGAAGGGCCGUUUCCAAAUAUUUGAGUUCAUUCAUCCGAACAUCGGGUAUAUGCUUCUUUCUCUAGCCCCUCCUUGAAGGGAGGAGGGACAAUGUGAUCUGUAUCGUUAGAAGCUAUUCCAUGUCGUCAUCUUUGGGCUCAGUUCAAUACUAAAAGAUAUGGGCGGGGCCCUUAUCAUUUUAUAUUUCUUCUAGAAGGUUUAUUCUGGAAAUCUUUCACAGAAACAUAUCUUUUUCUUCUCUACGUGAUCCGUGGUUUGAAAGUUGGAAAAAUGGGUCCGUUAACAAGCCACCGAGUUGAAAAGUUGGAAAAAUGGCAACACCGCCAACCUCUUGUAUUCGAUAGUUAAAUAAAAGGUCACUGGAAGUGAGAUCCCUUUUGGCCUCUUGAUUUUCAUUCCAGCAUCUCUAUGGCCUGAUAAAUUAAAAAACUAAAAAAAAAGACAGUACGUGGGUUGGUGUUAAGCAUCAAGAGUCAAGACAUGAUAAUGGAGAGAAAGGAUAUUCAAAUUCCAGUUCUGACAACAUGAUUUUCUUUGCUGAACUACCAUAUUAUAUUUGAUCAAGAAAGAGUAGUGCAUGUGGCCAGGAUCAAGACAUACAUUAAUUUCCACAUGAUGAAGACAGUUUCUGAGAGUUUCUUCUAAAGCUCUUGCGCGAGUAGGCUUCAAGUCAAAAUCUCCCAUGUAAACACUGGUUUUUCUUUCAUUGCCACUAAGGAUGCAGUUAAUAUUGACUUAAGAUCCUACGUGAUAUAUUUUUUUAAAAGAGCUAUAUUGUAGAUAAUAUUUGAAAUAAUGUUGAUUCGUUGUGGAAAUAUAUUUGUAAGGAAAGUUGUUGACAAUUUAAUAUAGUAUAAGAAGAAAAAAGUUAUCAACUAGCUAGAGAUGAGUAUGUAAAGUGAGGCUCACGAUUCAACGCGUAAAUAUAAGAUAUUUUAAGGCUCAAUAGUUAUGAUAUCUAUUUUAUUUUUUGUAUCUCAUAUAUUCAAAGAUAUAGUAAAAUGAUUUUACAUAUAUAUAUAUAUAUAUAUAUGAACAUAACUAUUUGUGCCAAUUGAUUUUUAUCUUUAUUUUGUAUAUUAGUAAUUAUAUUAAAGUUUUUACUAAUAUAAUAACUAAUAUAAAAGCUUUUUCUAAAAGAGUCAACAGAGCAAAACACUUAUUAUAAAAAAUAAUUUUGAUUGAAGGUGGAGUCAAUUAUUCUUUAUUUAACAUGUAAUGCAUACGGCGUGUACUUCAUAACUAAAGUAUAUAAGUGUAACAUCUCUUAUAUAUUCUCAUUCAAUCUCGAAAGUGGAAAUUUUAAAAAGAUUAAACGGUUCAAAUUUGUCGUGCAUAAAGGGGAUCAUGUCACAUAAGCAAACCAUGGCAUACCAAAGACAUAGGUAUGGACUAAGAAUUUUUUUCAAAUAAGUUUCUUAUUAGGGUACAUUAAUAGGUGACUUUUUAUGACAUAUCAAAGGAGUCAAGUGCACCAAUAAAAACAUAUAUAGAAAAUUCAUGCAUGACAUGUAUCACUAAGAGAAGAUUGACUUGAUAGAGUUUAAUCCAAAUAGGAGAUUGUUAAAAGGUGUCUCAAAUUCUUGAUUGAUAUAUAUUUUUUUUAUUAAAAAGGUUAUUAUAUAGAUAUUUCAAUAGACUAUUAAUUCUUUGUAAAAAUAGUUAUAUAAUGAGGAUGGUGAUUAAAAAUAUCUCUAUCAAUAUUUUGGAUUAUAAAAAGAAAAAAAAUGAGAUAAUGAUAAACAUAUAAAACUUGUACAAGUAGAUAAAGAUGUGAUGAAAGACACUUGAUGAAUGAAGGCUUUGUAUUUCAAGAUAUAAAUAUAUGGAGCAAAACUCUUAAUUAUAUGAUCAAAUGAUUCUCUCAUAUUCAUGAAUAUAAGCAGGAUUGGGGAACCAUGAUAGAAUCUUAUAUGCCUCUCCAUGUAGAGUGAUCGAUGUUUAUCUUCAUAUUUUACACCAGUGAAUGACAUUGAAACUCUUAUUGAUAAAAGGGAAAAGGCAUGGCCUCCACCCCAAGAAAAACAAGUAACCUCGGUUUAAAUCACUAGUCUACACCCCGAAGAGAGAACUAGCCAAACCUACUAAAAGAGAAACUUAACAAUUUAGAAAGAAACCGUCCAUGAUAAAGGGCCCCUAAAGGUCCAAUUCAGUGAGGUCGUGAACAAAAACACUUUCAUGUCAAAACAGAGAUAGGUACCACCAAAAUGUAAAGGGAAAGAUGUAAACCACGUCGAACUUUGGUAAUCAAUGGUAAAGAUAGCAUGAUAGCUAAAAGCACUAAAGCUGUGCUUGGUAUGCAAAAAUGAAAAGUGGAAAUCAGCGUCUUAUUCUUUUUCACCUUUAUUCACAUAUUAGGAUAACUAAUAUCUAAUGUUUUUUAUGUCUCAAAUUCUAUUCCAUGUUAUGGUAAACUUUCAUCUUGUUUAGAUCACUUUUGUCUGGUUUGGGCUCAAGACGAUAAGCCUAUAGAGACUUCAUAUUGGGUUGAAUCGAUGCCCUUGAUCUGAUCUGUUCGUUAGAAAAAUCUGAAUUAUUAUAAGCAUUUAGAUAAAAAAUAAAUAAAUGUGAAACACAAACUACUCCCUGCACAACCUUGACCCUAGUUACUCAGUUUCACUGCUCACAGGACUAACCUCUCCAUUCAGUCGAAAUGAAUUGUAACAAGAAGAUUUUUGACAGGAGGACGGUAGUUUAAAAUAAUAAUUUCUAAAGUACUUUUGUGAAAAAAAAUAAUUCCAAACGUGGAUUUUAUCAAGUAAAAAGAAAAAAAAAAGUUAUUUUCUUUUAAAAUCUGUUCUUCUAAAGAUGAUAUAUAUACCAAAAAAAAAAAUUGUUUUCUGAAGGUAAAAUUUUUAAAAUUCAUUUUUAAAAAAAUUUACACACUAAAAUUAUCUUUUCAAGAGAAGAUUUUUUUAAUUUUAAAUAAUUAUUAAUUUAUAAUUAAUUUGUUAUUAAUUAUUUAUUAAUUUUUUUAUUUGAAAAAUGCAUUUAUAAAAAACAAAUUUGUUAUUAAUUUAUUAAAUAAUUUUUACAAAAUAAAUAAUUUUUUUUUAUUUUAAUUUUAAAAUUAAUUUUAUUAUAUAAAUUUUAAAAUUAAAAAUAUUAAUAUUUAAUUUAAAAUUUAACUAUAAAAGGAAUAAAAUAUAGAAAAAUAAAUUAAUUUAUUAUUCAAUAAAUUAAUUUUCAAUAAAAUUUUCAGCAUUAAGAGAUAAAUUUUUAAGUAUUAAUCAAUUUAAAAAGAAAUAAUGAUCAUUUGUAUAUUAAGAUAUUUUAUUUAGUAAUUAUGAAUGAUAAACAACUAAAGUAAUUUGAAAAAAUAAUAAAAUAUUUAAAAAAUAAUAAUUUAAUACACGUAAAAUUAGAAAUGAUUAACUAUUUUUUAUUAAGAAAAAAUUGAGGAAAUAUUUUGUUAUUUAAAAUUUUUUAUUUGUUUUCAAUUUUUAAUGUUAUAGGUUUCAAGAAAAUUGAUCAAAUAAAAAUUAAGAAGUCAUUUUUUCAAAAACUAUAUAUCUAAAUAAAAGCCUUGAAAUUCAAAUACACAAUAUCAUAAAUAUAAACACCAAGUCAAUCCUUAAUUAUCAAAUGUUUUUAAUAUUAAAGAAUCAAAAUCACCUACUAUCAUGAUAAUAAGAAAACCAAUAAUAUUGUUCAUAUAAAUACUAAAAAGCUAACAAAUAUCCCAAACAAUUAAUAAAGUAUCAAACAUGAUAAAAAGUCAAUUAUUAUCAUGAAUGCAAAAAAUCAAUAAUUUUGUUUAUAUGAACCAUCAACAAAGAAAAAAAAAAUCAAUAUCUAAAUAUUAAACAUAAUUUAUAUUUUUAUAAAUAUUAUUGUUGAUAAAUAUCUUAACAAUUAUAAUUUUAGUAAAUAAAAUUAAUUAAUUUUAGUUUAAGAAUUAUUUUUUUAUACUUUCGUAUUCUUAUCAAAAAUCCCCAUUUUGCAUGUCUCCUUUGGCAUGACUUUCUUACCUAAACAAGCAUAUAUAUAUAUAUAUAUAUAUAAAAUAUUUGGUUAAGAAAGAGUACUAAAGUUUAUAUGGCACACAUCAAGAUAGAAACAGAAGUGGAAGAUAAUCCAAAUGUAUGAACAGAUAUAUUAUAUCCAUGUAGUGGUAGUGACUUCAUUAUUUACUUUUAUCUAAUGGAGCAUGACACACUUCUUCUGAAUAUUUUGCACGAUUAUGUUAUGUGUCAGCUUGUUCUAAGUCAAAACUAGUGAUAAAAAUCGGUUUUUUUUGCAUUUCCUUCAUGAAGAUGGCACCUGGAUGGGGCACUACAUGAGUGGCAUAGCACGAAGUGAUUUAUCUGCUCCCUUUACUAUAAAGUGCUUUGUGUAUAAGUUACACCUCCCCUGCACUGCCUCAACAUUUGUUGUUCUGUCUUCCGUCUGUCCAAACGAGGACAAACGUAUGUUGUAGGUUGACAAAACCACAGCUAGCCUAGGAUUUGCAAGGAUCUAGUUUGAUUCGUAUGCAAAAGGAUUGGUGAAAAGAUUCACAAAGAUAAUGCUUUUUGCAAUGCAAUCUUGUUCUAAUUCAACAGUGUGGACCAUUUUCAUGUAAUGCUUCAACUAGAUGUCAGUUUCAUGAAUUUUUGUUCAUCUAAUUGAUCACUGGAUAGGCCAUAACCCGAAGAAAUUCAAAAUUCCCUUCAGUACUGUAGCUAAGGAAAGAUCCCUAUCUACCACUGGGAUUUUAAGAGGGUAAAAAUGUAGGUGGGUGCCUAUAUCAUUUGCACUUCACUAUAGGCCUCUUUGGGAAGAUUUCUUCUGAAGACAUUUCAAAGAAACAUAUUUUUCUCUUCUCUCCGUAAACGGCAGCUGCAAGUCAGUCCAUUCACAGGCCACCGAGUUGAAAAGGCUGGAAAAUUGGCCAAAGCACCCGCCUCCUGGAUUCCAUGGGUAAGGAAAAGGUCACUGGAGGUGUGAUCCCUGUUGGCCUCUUGAUUUCCAUUCCGCCAUCUAUAUGACCUGAUAACCCAAAAACACAGAAGGAAAACGUCACCUGGGUUCAUAGUAAGCAUCAAGUCAUGAUAGAGACCAGACAACAUGACCAACAAAGAGUAGCGAAUGGGGCCAACAUCAAGCCCCAUUACGGUUAGAAGAUGGAAGAAGUAGAAGACAAUCCAAUUCUGAUAGAUUCGGGCAAAUGUAGUGCUGUUCAAACUUAAUCAUUUACUAUUUCUUCAUGAAUCACGGCAUUUUUCUUCUGAAAAUUUUCCAAGAUUAGGCCUCUGAAGAAAAAUUUCAUAUGUAAAUUGGUAUAUUAAGGAAAAGGCGUUACAAAGGUGAAAAAAAACCAAUCAAAUCUUAUAUAUGACAUCUCAAAAAUAUGAACUUGCUAUAAAUAUUUAAAAUCAAAAUCUUGCACAUCACCUCGUAGUACGAACUUGCUAUAAAACUUGAAAAUCAAGAAGAAAGGGGCAGUAUUGGACGAGACUACUUAGCACAUAUUAUUAUGAUGUUUUUUCAUUUUCUUAAUGUUGUUUUUAUGUCUUAAAUUCUAUUAUUCUAUGUUACGGUAAACAUUCAUCUUGUUUGUGUGGAAUAGGAUCACUUUUCUCUGGGUUGAGUCGAUGCCCUUAGUUAAUUUGUUCAUUUGAAUAAACUAAAUUAUUAUAAGUAUUUAGAUAAGAAAAACGUGAUACAUAAAUUACGCCUCUCGGCACAACUUCAACACUGGUUACUCUGUUUCAGUUUCCUCACACAAGAUUAUUGGUUCUAGGGUUUAUUUGGUUUUGGUUUGAUUCUAAUUGCUAAACUUUCUCAAGGAAGAUGUUAUAUAGGGAGUGAGAAACCUUCACUCUUGGCUACCUCCAAGAGAAGAGCAAGUGGUCUGAAUCAAAGAUAUACUGCUCACUUUUUCUUCUUCUAAGGACAGCUAUGACCUUGCUUUAAGGUUCGAAUAGCCUAAUGCAACCUCCCAUUUCUCAAGUCAGCUGAUGAUGUAAGUCACCUUGGCUUUCCACAUUCAUACGGUGAGGACGUUUGUGGGUGUAAUUCUCUUAACAGUUUUCAUUUUAUAUGGAAAAAUUCAUAAUUAAGGGUAAUUACUGAUUCCAUUUGACAGUGACCAAGUUUAAAAUAUUAAUUCAUAUAUUAAAUGCACAUUAAAAAAUCAUGGAAUAAAUAUAUUUACUAAUAUAUAGUUCUUUUGCCAUGUUCUGUCACAGAAGCAUCGAACUUUCCCUAGAAAUUUUUGCAUGGUAUUCUACUUAUGAUUUUGAAAACUCUAGGCACCUGAGGCCACUAAUUGCAUGGUUGGAUGAGGAGCUGCAUGAGAUUAUGUAUCGUGUUGUUCCUUAACUACAAAUAUCAGUUUUAAGUAGCAUCUCCAUGUGACAUUUUCCUGAUGCAAUUUCGCUGUCCACCAACAAAUUUCACCAUGCAGCAAGAUGAAUUGUAAUUUCUUUAUUGUUAUCAACAGCUUUAAUUAAUCUUGAUAUAUAUAUAUAACUUAGUAGAAGUAUAUUAAUCUAGAUUGUAGUUGCACUAAGAUAAUAGGCAAUAUUAUAACAGUGCCACAAUGCUCAUCGCCAAAUAGAAAGGUAGAAAAACUACAAUGAGUAACUCACAACAUUCUCAAACAGGACAUAGCGGCGACUGAUACAUAGAACACUAUUGGCACUCAGGAAAUGAUAAGAUCAGUGCCCAGCAGGCAGCACGUCUUAUUUUACAUACUACUUAAAACUAACCAAAGUCAUUCAGUUGGGAUGGGUGGGAGAUGGUGGUUUGUGCGGUGGCUUUUGGGUAGUUGGUGGCUUCUUUCCUGGAACUGAUGGUUUUUUUGUUGGAGUUGAAGGAGGCUUAAUCGUCUGAGGUGGCUUGUAUGAGUCUUCAGCACUCUCUGCGGGAGGGUGCCCAGGGUUGUGACCAUAAUGGGGUGGCUUCUCUCCCUUAGUUGGUUUGCCAAGUGGGCUGGCUGGCUUGUGCUCCGGGAGCGGCUUCUCUCCCUUAGGUGGUUUGCCAAAUGGGCUUGCUGGCUUGUGCUCUGGGAGCGGCUUCUCUCCCUCAAGAAGUUUACGGGUUUUGUCAGAUGGCUUGUGUUCUGGUGGUGGCUUCUCUCCUUGGGGUGGUUUGCCAAAUGGACUUGGUGGCUUGUGUUCGGGGAGUGGCUCCUCUCCCUUGGGAGGUUUAGUUGGUGGCUGGUGUUCCAUAGGUGGUUUCUCAACCGGGGGCUUGUUCUCCGUUGGUGGUUUAUGAACUGGGGGAUGCUUGGGGUAGUCAGCAAGAGACGGGGUGGUGAGAACCACCAGUCCCAGCAGCAACACUAGCAAGUAUGUGGAAGAGUACAUCUUUGAGUUCAGGCUGAGAUUUGUGCGAGACUUGAAGAAUUAGGUGGCCUUUUAUAGCUGGCUGCACCCAACACUCACAUGACACGUAUCAUGGUGACACAUGUGCUAUGGGUCCAUUUGGGUCCUACAGAAGCUGAAAACUUUUGACUAUUGAGGUGUGGUCACAACUUUUGUCCCUAUUGCUUUCUCCGCAACCGUUUUACAUGUUUCCUUUGGCAUAAUUUUCUAAGCUAAACAAGCAUAUAUCAUAUUUGGUUAAGAAAGAGUAAAGUGUAUAUGGCACACAUCAAGGAAGAGAAACAGAAAAAGUGGGAGACAAUCAAUUGUGAUAAACAGAUAUAUUAUAUUCAUGUAGUACUAGUGACUUUAUCAUUUACUUUUAUCCAAUAGAUCAUCACUCUUUCUUCUAAAUAUUUUGGAGGAUAAUGGUACAUGUUGCUUGUUUCCAAGUCAAAAUUGGUGGCAAAAAUCGGCAUGAUACGAAAGGAUUGGUGAAAAGAUUCACAUAGAUGGUGCUUUGUGCAAUGCAGUCUUGCUCUAAUUCAACAGAGUGGACCAUGGUGAUGUAUUUUAAAUUUUAAAUUUUAAAUUAAUGCAUGCUUCAAAGUUUUAACUAGAUGUCACUUCCAUGGAUUUUUGUUCAUUUAAUUGAGCACAGGAUAGGCUAUCAAACUUGAAGUAAUAUAAAAAUCCCUUCAUUACUGUAACUAAUGAAAGAUCAUUAUCUGCGCUUGGUAUUUUGCCAAGGUAUUUGCUGCUCUUUCUAGCCCUGUCUUACAGUUAAGGACAAUGUGAUCUAGUUAACCUUAGAAGCUAUUCCAUGUCAGAUACAAGAGAUCAAGCACAUUAUCUUUGGGCUCAGUUCAAAACUAUAAUAUAUGGGUGGGGUGGAGGCCCAUAUCAUUUGCAUAUCACCACUAUUGGUUUAGUUUGGAAGGUUUCUUCUGGAAGAUUGCUGCUUUCUGGAAUCAUUUCAAAGAAAUAUAUCUUUUUGUUCUCUUGGUGACGAGCAGCGGCAAUCAAGUCUGUUGACAAACAACCGAGUUGAAAAGUUUGAAAAUUGGUCACAGCCCACGUCCAUGGUUAAGGAAAAGGUCACUGGAAGUGAUCCCUUCUGGGCCUCUUGAUUUCCAUUCUGACAUCUAUAUGACCUGAUAAAUAGAAAGAAAAAAAAACAGAAGAAAAGCGGCACCCGGGUUCAUAGUAAGCAUCAAGACAGGAUACUGAAAGAAGGGAGAAAGGAGAUUGCAAGUCCAAUCCUGAUAAAAUGAUCAACAAAGAGUAUCAAAAUGGGGCCAACAUAAAGACCCAUUGAGGUUAGCAGAUGGCAUGGCAUUUUUCUCCUUAAGUUUUCCAUGAUUAGACUUGAAGUCAAAAUUUCACAUGUAAAUUUGUAUUUCUACAUUUCCCACUGACGACACCCAACUUCAACUUGAGUUAGAAUAACAUUGUGUGAACUUAUCUGGCCCUCAAAAUUUACUGUGAAGUGCUUUCUGCGUGUGAAGAUUCAGAAAAGCACCAAGGGAACAUGUAUGGUCUGCCUUUUUCUGAUGUUAUGUUUGUCUCUAAUUCUGUUCCAUGUCAUGGUAAAUGUUCACAUUGCUUGUAUGGAACACACCAGGAUCACUUUUUCGGGUUUAUUUUGAGGCUUCAUAUUGGGUUCAUAUUGGGUUCAAUGCUUUUAAUGUGUUCAUUAGACAAAUCUGAAUUAUCAUAUGCAUUUAGAUAAGAACAAUAAUGUGAAACCCUAGUUACACCUCCCCUGCAUAACCCCAACCCUGCUUACUCUAUUUCAGUUUACUCACACAAGUUUUACCGGUUCUUAUAAGUCAAGAAAAGGCAACUGAUGUUGGAUUGACUCUCUUCCAUGUAUAAAAAGCAACUUUUAUAUAUACAUAAAAUAACUUCUUCCCCUCACCAAUGUGGGAUAUCAUGGAUUUAUUCUGGAAACACAUCAAAGGAACAUCUUUUCUCUUGGGUGACCCUAAGUGGUGAGUCAGACCAUUUGCAUGCCAUUGAGUUGCACAGUUGGAUAAAUGCACCUACCUCCUGGGCUCCAGAGUUAAAAGGGUGGAUCCCUGGAUCGCAACCCUCUUGGCAUCUUGGUUUCCAUUCCAACAUCCACAUGACUUGACAAAACAAAAAACAGAAUAAAAUCAUCACUAUUUUCAUGCUAAGCACCAAUACAUGAUGGAAAUCAUUGCUUAAAGAUUUGGGGUCAUUUAGGUUUUGACUGCCUCCUAACACCUCACCUAAUCACAAGUUUUUAUGCUUACAAAUCAAAUAUCGUUCUUCAUUAUAUUAAAAUCAUUUUAAGAUUUCAGAUCCAUCUGCUAAUUAUGAUUAUGAUAACAUUAAUUCACCUGUGCUUCUCAUUUUCGACACACAAGGCAUCUAGGUUUGCAGGAUUUCCUUAUUAGAUGAGAUAAAUGAGUACGCAUGGUUAUGUAUGCAGCAUUCAUUAACCAUGGUAUGUGACAUUUAGAAUUAAGAUAGCAAGCAAACUUUCCCUGCAGCUUGAGUAAAUUGUGAUUUCUUAGCCUCUAUGAGUGGUUCCCAAAUCAAAUUAACAUAGUGAAAUAUACGUAGUCCAGUGAAAGGAAAUGUAAAUUAUAAACUAACAGCACUACACUACUGGUAACACUCGAUACUCUCUAUAUAAUGCAAUGAAAUAUACGUUAUACGUUGCUUGUUCCAAGUCAAAAUUUGUGGCCAAACGUUGGCCUUUUUUCAUUUUCCCUAAGAUUAAUGCUCACCUGGGAUAGGCACUACAUGAUUUAUCUGCUCUUUUACUGUAAAGUUGCUUUGUGUAUGAGUUACACCUCCCCUGCACACCCUCAACAUUUGUUGCUCUGUUUUCCUUGUGUCCAGACGAGGAUAUUAAGUGGGGGCUGACAAAACGACUGCUAGCCAAGGAUUUACAAGGUCCUGGUUUGACGCUUCCGCGAAAGUAUUUUUGAAAAUAUACACAUAGAGAUUGCGCGUUCGGUGCAAUGCAACAAUGUGAGCCAUUCUGAAGUUUUUAAUUUCAGAUUAAUGAAUGCUACAAAAUUCUAAGAAGGGCCGUUUCCAAAUAUUUGAGUUCAUUUAUCCGAACAUCGGAUAAGUAAUGAUCAUAGAUUAUUAUUAUUAUCUGACGUUCUUAUAAUGGUUGGCAUUAUAAGAGGGUAUAUGCUUCUUUCUCUAGCCCCUCCUUCAAGGGAGGGACAAUGUGAUCUGUAUCGUUAGAAGCUAUUCCAUGUCGUCAUCUUUUGGCUUAAGUCAAUACUAAAAUAUAUGGGCGGGGCCCCUGUCAUUUUAUAUUUCUUCUAGAAGGUUUGUUCUGGAAAUCUUUCACCGAAACAUAUCUUUUUCUUCUCUACGUGAUCCGUGGUUGGAAAGUUAGAAAAAUGGGUCCGUUCACAAGCCACCGAGUUGAAAAGUUGGAAAAAUGGCAACACCGCCAACCUCUUGUAUUCGAUAGUUAAAUAAAAGGUCACUGGAAGUGAGAUCCCUUUUGGCCUCUUGAUUUUCAUCCCAGCAUCUCUAUGUCCUGAUAAACUAAAAAACUAAAAAAAAAACAGUACGUGGGUUGGUGUUAAGCAUCAAGAGUCAAGACAUGAUAAUGGAGAGAAAGGAUAUUCAAAUUCCAGUUCUGACAACAUGAUUUUCUUUCCUGAACAACCAUGUUAUAUUUGAUCAAGAAAGAGUAGUGCAUGUGGCCAGGAUCAAGACAUACAUUAAUUUCCACAUGAUGAAGACAGUUUCUGAGAGUUUCUUCUAAAGCUCUUGCGCUAGUAGGCUUCAAGUCAAAAUUUCCCAUGUAAACACUGGAUUUUCUUUAAUUGCCACUAAGGAUACAGUUAAAAUUGACUUAAAAUCCUACGUGAUAUAUAUCUUUAACAAAAGUAUAUUGUAUAUAAUAUUUGAAAUAAUGUUGAUUCGUUGUGGAAAUAUGUUUGUAAGGAAAGUUGUUGACAAUUUAAUAUAGUAUAAGAAGAAAAAAGUUAUCAACUAGAGAUGAGUAUGUAAAGUGAGGCUCACGAUUCAACGCGUAAAUAUAAGAUAUUUUAAGGCUCAAUAGUUAUGAUAUCUAUUUUAUUUUUUGUAUCCCAUAUAUUCAAAGAUACAGUAAAAUGAUUUUAUAUAUAUGAACAUAGCCGAUAGUAUCAUGUUAAAACCUUAUAUGACUCUUUGUGCCAAUUGAUUUUUAUCUUUAUUUUGUGUAUUAGUAAUUAGUAUUAAAGUUUUUACUAACAUAAUAAUUGAUAUAAAAGCUUUUUCCAAAAGAGUCAAACAGAGCAAAACACUUAUUAUAAAAAGAAUUUUGAUUGAAGGUGGAGUCAAUUAUUCUUUAUUCAACAUGUGAUGCAUACAGCGGGUACUUCAUAACUAAAGUAUAUAAGUGCAACAUCUCUUAUACAUUCUCAUUCAAUCUCGAAAGUGGAAAAUUUUAAAAGAUUAAAUGGUUCAAAUUUUCCGUGCAUAAAGGGGAUCAUGUCACAUAACCAAACCAUGGCAUACCAAAGCCAUGAUAUGGACUAAGAAUUUUGUUAAAAUAAGUUUCUUAUUAGGGCACAUUAUGUGACUAUUUAUGACAUAUCAAAGGAGUCAAGUGCAUCAAUAAAGACAUAGAAAAUUCAUGCAUCACAUGUACCACUAAGAGAAAAUUGACUUGAUAGAGUUUAGUCCAAAUAGGAGAUUGUUAAAAGGUGCAUCAAAUUCUUGAUUGAUAUAUAUUUUUUUUAUUAGAAAGGUUAUUAUAUAGAUAUUUCAAUAGACUAUUAAUCCUUUGUAAAAAUAGUUAUAUAAUGAGGAUGGUGAUUAAAAAUAUCUCUAUCAAUAUUUUGGAUUAUAAAAAGAAAAAAAAUAUGAGAAAAUGAUAAACAUAUAAAACUUGUACAAGUAGAUAGAGAUGUGAUGAAAGACACUUGAUGAAUGGAGGCCUUGUAUUUCAAGAUGUAAAUAUAUGGAGCAAAACUCUUAAUUAUAUGAUCAAAUGAUUCUCUCAUAUUCAUGAACAUAAGCAGGAUUGGGGAACCAUGAUAGAAUCUUAUAUGCCUCUCCAUGUAGAUUGAUCGAUGUUUAUCUUCAUAUUUUACACCAAUGAAUGACAUUGAAACUCUGAUUGAUAAAAGGGAAAAAGCAUGGCCUCCACCACAAGAAAAACAAGUAACCUCGGUCUAAAUCACUAGUCUACACCCCGAAGAGAGAACUAGCCAAACCUACUAAAAGAGAAACUUACCAAUUUAGAAAGAAAUCUUCCAUGAUAAAGGGCCCCUAAAAGUCCAAUUCAGUCAGGUUGUGAACAAAAACACCUUCAUGUCAAAACAGGAAUAGGUACCACCAAAAUGUAAAGGGAAAGAUGUAAACCAAGUCGAACUUUGGUAAACAAUGGUAAAGAUAGCAUGAUAGCUAAAAGCACUAAAGCUGUGCUUGGUAUGCAAAAAUGAAAAGUGGAAAUCAGCGUCUUAUUCUUUUUCUCCUUUAUUCACAUAUUAGGAUAACUAAUAUCUAAUGUUUUUUUUAUGUCUCAAAUUCUAUUCCAUGUUAUGGUAAACUUUCAUCUUGUUUAAGUGGAAGAGUAGGAUCACUUUUGUCUGGUUUGGGCUCAAGACGAUAAGCCUAUAGAGACUUCAUAUUGGGUUGAAUUGAUGCCCUUGAUCCGAUCAGUUCGUUAGAAAAAUCUGAAUUAUUAUAAGCAUUUAGAUAAAAUAAAUAAAUAAAUGUGAAACAGAGACUAUUCUCUGCACAACCUUGACCCUAGUUACUCAGUUUCACUGCUCACGGGACUAACCUCUCCAUUCAGUCGAAAUGAAUUGUAAUUUCUUUACUGGUAGCAGUAGUACUUUUCAUAGCAAAGAUAAUAGUAAAUAUGAAAUAUAAAUAUAUAGAAGGAAAUCUGGAUUGUAGAUAGCACCAUAAGUAACACUCAAUAUUUACUACAUAAUAAAAGAGAUAGUGUUACAAAGGUAGAGAAACCUACAAUGAGUACUCAUCACCAUUCUCAAACAGAAACAUAGCAGUGACUUAUACAUAGAACCUAUAGGCUCGCAGGGAAAGAGUAACAUGAUAAGUGCACAGCGGGUAGCAGCUCUUAUUUUACGUAUUACUCAAAAUCUCAAACUAACCAAAGUCACUCAGUUGGGAUGGGUAGGAGAUGGUGGUUUGUGGGGUGGCUUCUGGGUAGGAGCUGGUGGCUUCUUUGUUGGAGUUGAAGGAGGCGUAAUCUUCUGAGGUGGCUUGUAUGAGUCUUUGGCACUCUCUGCAGGAGGGUGCCCAGGGUUGUGACCGGAAGGAGGUGGCUUCUGUCCCUUUGGUGGUUUGCCUAAUGGGCUUGGUGGCUUGUGCUCCGGGAGUUGUUUCUCUCCCUCGAGUAGGUUUCGAGUUUUGUCAGAUGGCUUGUGUUCUGGUGGUGGCUUCUCUCCCUGGGGUGGUUUGCCGAAUGGGCUUGGUGGCUUGUGUUCGGGGAGUGGCUUCUCUCCCUUGGCAGGUUCAGUUGGUGGCUGGUGCUCCGUAGGUGGUUUCUUCACCGCCGGCUUCUCUCCCUGGAGAAGGUUACGAGUUUUGUCAGAUGGCUUCUGUUCUGGUGGCGGCUUCUCUCCCUGGGGUGGUUUGCCAAAUGGGCUUGGUGGCUUGUGUUCGGGAACUGGCUUCUCUCCCUUGGCAGGUUCAGUUAGUGGCUGGUGUUCCGUAGGUGGUUUCUUCACCGGCGGCUUGUGCUCCGGAAGCGGCUUCUCUACCUGGAGAAGCUUACGAGUUUUGUCAGAUGGCUUGUGUUGUGGUGGUGGCUUCUCUCCCUGGGGUGGUUUGCCAAAUGGACUUGGUGGCUUGUGUUCGGGGAGUGGCUUCUCUCCAUUGGGAGGUUUAGUUGGUGGUUGGUGUUCCGUAGGUGGUUUCUGAAGUGGGGGAUGCUUGGGGUAGUCAGCAAGAGACGAGGUAGUGAGAACCACCAGUCCCAGCAGCAAUACUAGCAAGGAUGUGGAAGACAUCUUUGAGUUCAGGCUGAGAUUUGUGCAAGGCUAGAAGAAUUAGGUGGCCUUUUAUAGCGGGCUGGACCCAACAACCAAAUGACACGUAUCAUGAUACACAUAUGUGUUAUAAGAUCCUUGUGGGUCCUACAGAAGUUGAAAACUUUGACAAUUGAGGUGUGAUUACAACUUUUGUCCCUAUUGCUUUCUCGUCAGCCGUUUUGCAAGAUUUUUGACAGGAGGACGGUAGUUUAAAAUAAUAAUUUCUAAAGUACUUUUGUGAAAAAAAAUAAUUCCAAACGUGGAUUUUAUCAAGUAAAAAAAACAAAAAAAAGUUAUUUUCUUUUAAAAUCUUUUCUUCAUGAUUCAUAUACCAAAAAAAGAAUUGUUUUCUGUAGGUAAAAUUUUUAAAAUUCAUUUUUAAAAAAAAAAAAUUACACACUAAAAUUAUCUCUUCAAGAAAAUAUUUUUUAAAUUUUAAAUAAUUAUUAAUUUAUAAUUAAUUUUUUAUUAAUUAUUUAUUAAAUUUAUAUGUGAAAAAUGCAUUUAUAAAAAACAAAUUUUUUAUUAAUUUAUUAAAUAAUUAUUUACAAAAUAAAUAAUUUUGCUUUAUUUUAAUUUUAAAAUUAAUUUUAUUAUAUAAAUUUUAAAAUUAAAAAUAUUAAUAUUUAAUUUAAAAUUUAACUAUAAAAGGAAUAAAAUAUAGAAAAAUAAAUUAAUUUAUUAUUCAAUAAAUUAAUUUUCAAUAAAAUUUUCAGCAUUAAGAGAUAAAUUUUUAAGUAUUAAUCAAUUUAAAAAAUAAUAAUAAUCAUUUGUAUACUAAGAUAUUUUAUUUAGUAAUUAUGAAUGAUAAACAACUAAAGUAAUUUGAAAAAAUAAUAAAAUAUUUAAAAAUAAUAAUUUAAUACACUUAAAAUUAGAAAUGAUUAACUAUUUUUUAUUAAGAAAAAAUUGAAGAAAUAUUUUGUUAUUUAAAAUUUUUUAUUUGUUUUCAAUUUUAAAUGUUAUAGGUUUCAAGAAAAUUGAUCAAAUAAAAAUUAAGAAGUCAUUUUUUCAAAAACUAUAUAUCUAAAUAAAAGCCUUGAAAUUCAAAUACACAAUAUCAUAAAUAUAAACACCAAGUCAAUCCUUAAUUAUCAAAUGUUUUUAAUAUUAAAGAAUCAAAAUCACCUACUAUCAUGAUAAUAAGAAAACCAAUAAUAUUGUUCAUAUAAAUACUAAAAAGCUAACAAAUAUCCCAAACAAUUAAUAAAGUAUCAAACAUGAUAAAAAGUCAAUUAUUAUCAUGAAUGCAAAAAAUCAAUAAUUUUGUUUAUAUGAACCAUCAACAAAGAAAAAAAAAAUCAAUAUCUAAAUAUUAAACAUAAUUUAUAUUUUUAUAAAUAUUAUUGUUGAUAAAUAUCUUAAUAAUUAUAAUUUUUUAUAUAUUAAAUUUAGUAAAUAAAAUUAAUUAAUUUUAUAAUAUAAGAUAUAUAUAAUAAUUAAGAGACUAUUUGUCCCAAACAAUUUAUUUAUUUUUUUUUUAGGAAAUUGUCUCUUCAAGAGACGACUUCUCCCAACAUUUUUAAAAAAAAAAAAAAAAACAUCUAUUCAAAAGACGAUUUCUCCUCAUUUUUUAAAAAUGAAUUUUAGAAAUCAUAUUUUCAAAAAUGAAUUUUAGAAAUCAUAUUUUCAAAAGACGAUUUUUUUUUAUAUAAAUUAUUUUUUAAAAUGACGAUUUUAAAAGGAAAUAACGAUCUCUCUCCUACUUGGCAAAAACUAUGGUAAAUUUGGAAUUAUUUCUUCCACAACCAUAGUUUAAGAAUUAUUUUUUUAUACUUUCGUAGACUUAUCAAAAAUCCCUAUUUUGCAUGUCUCAUUUGGCAUGACUUUCUUACCUAAACAAGCAUAUAUAUAUAUAUAUAUAUAUAUAUCACUUUUGUCUGGGUUGAGUCAAUGCCCUUAACUAAUUUGUUCAUUUGAAUAGUCUAAAUUAUUAUAAGCUUUUAGUUAAGAAAAAUGUGAAACAUAAAUUACACCUCUCGGCACAACUUCGACACUGGUUACUCUGUUUCAGUUUAUUCACACAAGAUUAUUGGUUCUAGGGUUUAUUUGGUUUUGGUUUGAUUCUAAUUGCUAAACUUUCUCAAGGAAGAUGUUAUAUAGGGAGUGAGAAACCUUCACUCCUGGCUACCUCCAAGAGAAGAGCAAGUGGUCUGAAUCAAAGAUAUACUGCUCACUUUUUCUUCUUCUAAGGACAGCUAUGACCUUGCUUUAAAAUGUUCGAAUAGCCUAAUGCAACCUCCCAUUUCUCAAGUCAGCUGAUGAUGUAAGUCACCUUGGCUUUCCACAUUCAUACGGUGAGGACGUUUGUGGGUGUAAUUCUCUUAACAGUUUUCAUUUUAUAUGGAAAAAUUCAUAAUUAAGGGUAAUUACUGAUUCCAUUUGACAGUGACCAAGUUUAAAAUAUUAACUCAUGUAUUAAAUGCACAUUAAAAAAUCAUGGAAUAAAUAUAUUUACUAAUAUAUAGUUCUUUUGUCAUGUUCUGUCACAGAAGCAUCGAACUUUCCCUAGAAAUUUUUGCAUGGUAUUCUGCUUAUGAUUUUGAAAACUCUAGGCACCUAAGGCCACUGAUUGCAUGGUUGGAUGAGGAGCUGCAUGAGAUUAUGUAUCCUGUUGCUCCUUAACUACAAAUAUCAGUUUUAAGUAGCAUCUCCAUGUGACAUUUUCCUGAUGCAAUUUCGCUGUCCACCAACAAAUGUCUCCAUGCAGCUAGAUGAAUUGUAAUUUCUUUGUUGUUAUCAACAGCUUUAAUUAAUCUUGAUAUAUAUAUAACUUAGUAGAAGUAAUUAAUCUAGAUUGUAGUUGCACUAAGAUAAUAGGCAAUAUUAUAACAGUGCCACAAUGCUCAUCGCCAAAUAGAAAGGUAGAAAAACUACAAUGAGUAACUCACACAACAUUCUCAAACAGGACAUAGCGGCGACUGAUACAUAGAACACUAUUGGCACUCAGGAAAUGAUAAGAUCAGUGCCCAGCAGGCAGCACGUCUUAUUUUACAUACUACUUAAAACUAACCAAAGUCAUUCAGUUGGGAUGGGUGGGAGAUGGUGGUUUGUGCGGUGGCUUCUUUCCUGGAACUGGUGGUUUUUUUGUUGGAGUUGAAGGAGGCUUAAUCGUCUGAGGUGGCUUGUAUGAGUCUUCAGCACUCUCUGCAAGAGGGUGCCCAGGGUUGUGACCAUAAUGAGGUGGCUUCUCUCCCUUAGGUGGUUUGCCAAGUGGGCUGGCUGGCUUGUGCUCCGGGAGCGGCUUCUCUCCCUUAGGUGGUUUGCCAAAUGGGCUUGCUGGCUUGUGCUCUGGGAGCGGCUUCUCUCCCCCAAGAAGUUUGCGGGUUUUGUCAGAUGGCUUGUGUUCUGGUGGUGGCUUCUCUCCUUGGG